GGAAGAGGAGGAGGAAAGGGGGGUCACGGCUGCUCUCCCCAUCUCUCUGGGAGACCCUCACCCCAGAGACAUCGCAGGAAGCCCUUUUGAGAGCAGCCCUGUCGAGCUGGAGCUCCAGCGAGCCCUGCUGCCUGUGAUGAUGGAACUGGU